CAGGUCCCGGAUGGUGUGGGCACGGCGACGUCCCCAGAGGAGAUCAGAUGGGGCUUGGGCUCGGAGAAGUGGCCAGGAGCCCACCUGGAGGCUGGGGUAGAAGGAAGGGCCAGCAGGAGGCCAUAGCCUCGGCCUGCAGAUCCAGCCCAGCCCUGAGAACUAUCCCCCAGGAGUUUGGGGAAGGAUGGAAGACUGGCCCCCGCCAGCAUUCAAACUACACCCUGGAGAGAGAACCUGUCCCAGUGCUCCUCACUGCCACCCCGCAGUCCCUCCUUCCC
rnacentral:lncRNA from 1 species